CUAUGUGUCUACUAUCUCUUA
rnacentral:siRNA from 1 species